rnacentral:rRNA from 1 species
AGAGUUUGAUCCUGGCUCAGAAUGAACGUUGGCGGCGUGGAUUAGGCAUGCAAGUCGAGAGGGUUAGACCCUCGGCGAAAGGGACAGUAACACGUGGAUAACUUGCCUCGGGGUCAGGGAUAACUGCGGGAAACUGCGGAUAAUACCUGAUGAUGUCUUCGGACCAAAGAUUUAUCGCCCUGAGAGAGGUCCGCGUCCUAUUAGCUAGUUGGCGGGGUAAUGGCCCACCAAGGCUGAGAUGGGUAGCGGGUGUGAGAGCACGACCCGCGUCACUGGGACUGAGAUACUGCCCAGACACCUACGGGUGGCUGCAGUCGAGAAUCUUCGGCAAUGGGCGCAAGCCUGACCGAGCGACGCCGCGUGCGGGAUGAAGGCCUUCGGGUUGUAAACCGCUGUGGAGGGGGAGUAAAACCGAACGACCCCUUUAGAAAGCACAGGCUAAGUUCGUGCCAGCAGCCGCGGUAAUUC